rnacentral:rRNA from 1 species
GUUGUAUAGUCAAGUAAUUAAGUGCAUGUGGUGGAUGCCUUGGCAGUCAGAGGCGAUGAAAGACGUGAUAGCCUGCGAAAAGCUCCGGGGAGGCGGCAAAUAUCCUUUGAUCCGGAGAUGUCUGAAUGGGGGAACCCACCUACUUUAAGGUAGGUAUUGCAACAUGAAUACAUAGUGUUGCAAGGCGAACGAGGGGAAGUGAAACAUCUCAGUACCCUUAGGAAAAGAAAUCAAUUGAGAUUCCCUCAGUAGCGGCGAGCGAACGGGGAUCAGCCCAUUAAGUUAUGUGUGUUUUAGUGGAACGCUCUGGGAAGUGCGAACGUAGAGGGUGAUAUUCCCGUACACGAAAGGGCACACAUAAUGAUGACGAGUAGGGCGAGGCACGUGAAACCUUGUCUGAAUAUGGGGGGACCAUCCUCCAAGGCUAAAUACUCCUGACUGACCGAUAGUGAACCAGUACCGUGAGGGAAAGGCGAAAAGAACCCCUGUGAGGGGAGUGAAAUAGAUCCUGAAACCGCAUGCAUACAAGCAGUGGGAGCACCUUCGUGGUGUGACUGCGUACCUUUUGUAUAAUGGGUCAGCGACUUAUAUUCAGUAGCAAGGUUAACCGUAUAGGGGAGCCGUAGAGAAAUCGAGUCUUAAUAGGGCGUUUAGUUGCUGGGUAUAGACCCGAAACCAGGCGAUCUAUCCAUGAGCAGGUUGAAGGUUGGGUAACACUAACUGGAGGACCGAACCCACUGUCGUUGAAAAGCCAGGGGAUGACUUGUGGAUAGGGGUGAAAGGCUAAUCAAGCCUGGUGAUAGCUGGUUCUCCCCGAAAGCUAUUUAGGUAGCGCCUCGGACGAAUACCAUAGGGGGUAGAGCACUGUUUCGGCUAGGGGGUCAUCCCGACUUACCAAACCGAUGCAAACUCCGAAUACCUAUGAGUACUAUCCGGGAGACAGACUGCGGGUGCUAACGUCCGUAGUCAAGAGGAAAACAAUCCAGACCGCCAGCUAAGGCCCCAAAAUCAUAGUUAAGUGGGAAACGAUGUGGGAAGGCAUAGACAGCUAGGAGGUUGGCUUAGAAGCAGCCACCCUUUAAAGAAAGCGUAAUAGCUCACUAGUCGAGUCGGCCUGCGCGGAAGAUGUAACGGGGCUAAAACUAUGUGCCGAAGCUGCGGAUGUAUACUUUGUAUACGUGGUAGGGGAGCGUUCUGUAAGCCGAUGAAGGUGUGUUGAGAAGCAUGCUGGAGGUAUCAGAAGUGCGAAUGCUGACGUGAGUAACGACAAAACGGGUGAAAAACCCGUUCGCCGAAAGACCAAGGGUUCCAGUCCAACGUUAAUCGGGGCUGGGUGAGUCGACCCCUAAGGCGAGGCCGAAAGGCGUAGUCGAUGGGAAAAUGGUUAAUAUUCCAU